rnacentral:rRNA from 1 species
GCCGCAUGACCUUUCCCAUCUUGGCUUCCUUGCUGGUCAGAUUGGUCGUCUUAUUACCAUUUCAACUACUCCGGUUAUCGCUGGCGACUCCUUCGAGAUGGACGCCGUUGGCGCUCUCCGUCUUUCUCCAUUGCGUCGUGGCCUUGCUAUUGACUCUACUGUAGACAUUUUUACUUUUUAUGUCCCUCAUCGUCACGUUUAUGGUGAACAGUGGAUUAAGUUCAUGAAGGAUGGUGUUAAUGCCACUCCUCUCCCGACUGUUAACACUACUGGUUAUAUUGACCAUGCCGCUUUUCUUGGCACGAUUAACCCUGAUACCAAUAAAAUCCCUAAGCAUUUGUUUCAGGGUUAUUUGAA